GGUAUACUGAGAAUACACUACAGUGAGAUCUAAACUAGAUUGUGGACAAAUAAGGGUUUACAUCCAAGCCUAAGUGCCAUGUGGGAAGUAAAAAUAUUUGAGAGUUGAAUAGGGAAGAUGGGGAUUGUUGGAGAACAAUAGGGGACAUGUGUACUAUGACAAGAAGCACGAUAUUGUGAGAGACAGCAACAAGACCAGAAUUUUUAAAAAAAUAAUAGAGAUGAAAGGGAGAAAAGUGGCAAAGGAUGAAUUAGGAAGGGUAGACAGGGUCUAUCUCCUAAGGUAAUAUCAAUAACUUUUAUUGAAUUCUAUUUCUGUGCCAAGUAUCAUUCUGAACAGUUUACUUUUAUUUACCCAUUUGAUACAGGAAACUUAUAAAGGAGAUGUGUUAGCAUCCCCAUUUAGCUGAUGAGAGAACAGAGUCCAGAAAGGGUAGAAAUCAGCUAGCAAGUGGUUGAGUCAAGAUUUGAAGCCAGGCAGACCAUUUCCAGAGUCAACAUUCUUCAUAAUCAUUCUACACUGCCUCUCCAAAUUAGAAAAGAUUAAAGAAUGAUGUUCCUUCCUGGAUGCAAAGGAAAUACAUGCUUUUCUGUACUGCUCUCUUCUGGUCUGAAGCCCUCCAAAUCCUCCAGUCCUCCCACCUUGACCACCUUCCUCAAAUACUGAAAAAAAUCUGAUGUAAACAACUGAUCAACAGUCUAAGCCAGAGACUAAGAGGAAGAAAGGGAGCCCUGUGAAUAGCGGUAUGGA
rnacentral:lncRNA from 1 species